rnacentral:rRNA from 1 species
UACGUAGGGUGCGAGCGUUAUCCGGAAUUAUUGGGCGUAAAGAGCUCGUAGGCGGUUUGUCGCGUCUGCUGUGAAAUCUCGAGGCUUAACCUUGAGUUUGCAGUGGGUACGGGCAGGCUGGAGUGCAGUAGGGGAGACUGGAAUUCCUGGUGUAGCGGUGAAAUGCGCAGAUAUCAGGAGGAACACCGAUGGCGAAGGCAGGUCUCUGGGCUGUUACUGACGCUGAGGAGCGAAAGCAUGGGGAGCGAACA